AGGACGAACGUUGGCGGCGUGCUUAACACAUGCAAGUCGAGCGAGGCCCUUCCUUCGGGAAGGUGCCCUAGCGGCGAACGGGUGAGUAACACGUGGGCAACCUGCCCCUAGCACUGGGAUAACUCCGGGAAACCGGGGCUAAUACCGGAUAUGACCUUUGAGGGCAUCCUCGAAGGUGUAAAGGAUUCUGGCUAGGGAUGGGCCCGCGGCCUAUCAGCUUGUUGGUGGGGUAACGGCCUACCAAGGCGACGACGGGUAG
rnacentral:rRNA from 1 species